rnacentral:lncRNA from 1 species
ACCGUGAAUGUUACUGCUGGGACUUUUUAAACUCCUGACUUCAGUGUGGACCAAACCAAGGACUCAGAAUGUAUCCCACUAUUUCAUAUCACAUAGUUCCCUGUCCACCAAAAUGGGCACCUGCCUGUCUUUCAGCACAUUUUCCUGUCUAAUGGAAACUGGAUUUGUACUUUCUCUUAUUUAAUUCACUGAAGGAAUGAAAGUAAUUGUUGAAGUCCAGACUUUUCAUGGUUCAUAUCACCAGGUAAGUAUUAUUUAUUUUAAGUGUUUGAUAUAAAGCUGGUUAAUAACAGACAAGAGAUGCAGAGCAACCACACAAGGAGGCACUUAGGGGUUUCAUCAACAGACAUAAGUUUGCUCCUUAGAAUAUUAAUAGUGUUACAGGAAUGCAACAUUUCUCUUACGGGGGGACACUUCUCUUUUCCCCAGAGAAGAUACUAGUGUUCCUAAAAAUAUUUUUUCUUUUCCUUCUUGGUGAUAAUCUCAUGGACUUCAAAGUUCUACUUGAGAAAAGAAAAUAAUUAUUUCCAUGUGAAAUCAUCUUUCUUUGUGUUUGAACUUUCUUUGUGUCUCUGAACUUACCCAAAAAUCUGCCUGCAAUUGUACUGGUACAAGUGGAUUGGCUGGGACAGAGUUAUAGGUUUGUGCUUUUGGAGUCAAUUUGAAUUCAGUAAUACAUAUUAUAUAGGCCACUGCUAUACUUCUGGGAGCUUUUAGUUUGGUGUUAAUUAGACUAAUUAGCCAAUUCAUCUCUUUUUCACCAUCAGAAAAUGAUCUCGUGGCAUUGUAAAUGCUUAUGCUAGUUUCAUCAACUCCCCUACAGUCAGAAAGAGACAAGUUUUUCCAAAAGGGUCAGACCCUAACAUCUAAGAUCAUGGUCUUAUAUUGAUUAUAAGAGGAGCCUGAGAAUUUGGGUAUUUAU